rnacentral:rRNA from 1 species
UACAGAGGUCCCGAGCGUUGUUCGGAUUCACUGGGCGUAAAGGGUGCGUAGGUGGUUGGGUAAGUCUGAUGUGAAAUCUCCGGGCUCAACCCGGAAAUGGCAUUGGAUACUAUUCGGCUAGAGGUUUGGAGGGGGGACUGGAAUUCUCGGUGUAGCAGUGAAAUGCGUAGAUAUCGAGAGGAACACCAGUGGCGAAGGCGAGUCCCUGGACACAUAUUGACGCUGAGGCUCGAAAGCAUGGGGAGCAAACAGG